AGACUGUGUUUGCUUCCAGGGACCCGAAGUUGGUAAGGUAUUUGCAGCGGGACGAGGUUCUCGAGGCUCCCUGUGCUUUAACGACAGCGUCCUUUUGGCCUUUGAGUCAGUGGACAGAAGAGGAAAUUUAAGAAAAAGUAAUUGAGCCGGGCCUGGUAGUGCUCGCCUUUAAACCUGGCACCAGGAAGGCAGAAGCAGGUGGAUUCUGGGUUAAGAGACCCUGGGGGGAUGGGGGUGCGGGAGUAAGAAAAGAGCAAUUAAAAUCACACAAAAUAUGUUCUCUGAUCAUCAUGGAAUAAUCAAAUAACUACAAAUAAAACAUAACACAAUCUUCAAGCAUUUGGAAAUUAAACUUUUCCAUGAGAAGGCAAAGAAAGGACUUAGAACAUUUAUAAUAGGAACUGGGUGCGAUUUGUUGUUUUAAAUACGAUUGUUCAUUUUUUUCCCACGUGUUAGAAGGAAGCAAUGAGGGAUAUGCCACAAUGGUAUGGUGGCCCAGUUGCAACGUUAAAAUGCCUGUCUUUUGUCAUCCUUGGUAUGUAUCUUCAAACUCACUCCCAAGGGUCAAGGGAUUUGCCAUAGCUCAGACAUCACAUCUCUGUUUCAAGCAGCAGGAAGCAGUAUAAAAGAUCCACAGUCUAUCACACCUCCCAAAGACUGUGUGACUCUAAUUUACUUCUGCUUCAACUCAAAAGUAUCUGAACAAGGUUUCAAAUUCAACCACAUCCAAAAUACAGUUAGGGUGGACAGGGCUUUGAACCUGAGGCAUGACAGCAUCAUUACCAGUAGAAGGUAACACCCAAGGAGGCAUCUCUGGUCCUUAGGCUCCCUUCUCAUGCAAGACACCCUUCGUCCCUCCACAUACUGGAGCAUGUUUACCUACGUACAUUCUUAGAGCUGUGUCUGCUAGCUCUAAAAAAAACGAUGUUUGUAGACCAUUUUGUGUUGCUGUAACAACAUGACUGAAUAAUAAAUACAGGCAUUUGUACCUCACACUUCUGGAGGCUAAGUCUAAGAGCAUAGCACUGGUAUCUGGUGACGGCAUUUCUGAUGUUGCAUAGCAUGGUAUAGAGGCAAGAGAACCCGGGUGUGGCAAGAAUACACCAAGCAAACACAUCAUUUUGAUCCAUGAGGCAUUGUCUACUUGACUUGAUCACAUCUUAAAGGGUCUACCUCCUAAUACUGCGACAAAAACUGUAAUAUUUCAACAGGAGAUCUGAAGGGACAUUCAAACCAUAGUGAGGCAAUGUGGUGAAGUGUCUAGGAUGGCAGGGGUUUUGUGUGUGUGUGUGUGUGUGUGUGUGUGUUUAUUUGUCAAUUUGAAGAUUGAGGCAGCAGGAAAAGCAAGGUCUCAAAACUCAGCCAAGAUUUCUUGAAACCAGAAACACAGAGAGGGAGAUAAGAAAGUACAAAAUACACAGAGACAGAGUGAGCUACUAGAGAAGGGACCCAAAGAUAGUCUCUGUCAGAGGCAAAAUCUUCAUAUGUUUUGCCAAUAAGUAGUUCUCUCUCUCAAAACUCGCUGGUUUGGGCUAUUGCAGGGAAAUGUAUAAUCUAGACAAAGAAAGGGAGGCUGGCUGUUUCUCCAUACUGGACACCCUCUUAGUGGGAGAUUUGAAAGUCUCACUGAACAGUCCCUCUGAUAGGAAAAACCCAAUAAGUCUUUAUCUUGGAGAGGAGAAAGAAAGCAGGCAGUCAGCUAUCUUAAAUGUUUCAAUAGAAAAAAUACAUUAAUAUUCCAAGGUCCCCUUUCUCUUGUGCAUGUCUACCAGGGAGCUGUCUAUCUUCCAGUCCCUCGGGAAGACUGUCCUUGUCAAAUUCUUCAUAACUUGGCUCCUAUCAUCUUUAGGAUAUUUGUGUUUAAGAACAUGAUAAGGUGAAACUAUUCUUUAGUAAUUUAAUAUACAUGGCUGAAGAGAUAGCUUGGACAUUAAGAAUAUUGACUACUUUUACAGAGGAUCUGGUUUUAGUUUGUAGUAAAAUAAUCUUGUGUCACACAAAAGAACACAUGAAUAAAACAAGAGUAGCUCAGCAAGGUGACUUUUUUUUUUUUCAAAAAAAAAAAGGGUUCUUGAAACCCCAAGCCAGGCAUGCCCAAGGUGCUCCCUGUUAUGUAUCCCUAAAAGCAGGUGAUGACUGUAUCUCAUCCCAUUAUCCCAUUGGAAGGAGCCUGACUUCACAACCACAUGAUUGGUUAGUCAGUGCAAAGAGGGAGAUUCAGAGAGUAUGAGUUCUUGUCACAUUAACUACCUUUGAGGUUAGCAAGCAUAUGCUGACUUUGUGAUGUGUUGAUUAACAGUAAAUUAUUGUUAAGUGAUGACUCAAGCAUGACUUAAGGUGAGCCCACCUUACUAGGGUCCCAAGACUCAUACACUUGUCUCAACUGGAAUGUAAGGCCUUCACCCUGGCAGUGAUUCUAUUCUCCUGACAAGCAGUCUUCUCUUAAUAGAGCUUUACUGCUCUUUUACUGUUCUCCCUCUGAGGAGAUAGAAGUAUUUAGGCGGCAGAUUAGAGGUCACACACAUGCACACACUUUCUAGACAUCUCUGGUUUCUAGCCAAGGUCAAAGUGCCAAGAGAACCAAGGACUGUUUGUGCUUUUUGGCAAGAGAGAAAUGUGGGUGUGUGUUUUGUUUUUAUAUUAUUUUUACCCUGGACUGCCCUAGCUAAUGGGUUUUGUUUUUUGGUUUUGGUUUUUUUUUUUUUUUUUUUACCUUUUUAAAUUACACACCCUUCCUCUGAAGAAGUGGCACUCACAUGAAGAAAUUGGGAUAAUUACCAAUCUAUUUUAAGUAGAACGGGACCAUCAGACAUGGCAGUCAGGGUAUACCUCCAGUGGAUCUAUCUAAAAGAUCCCAAAAGUGUGUUGUGGUAGUUUCAUUUGUAUAACUAUAUCUGACUUUUGCUAUUUUGCUGCUGCUUUCUUCCACCCUUCCACACCCUAACUCUACAUAAGAGAGAAAAGAGGACCCCUGGAUAAAGUCAGGAGUUGGAAAGUGGGUGACAUUAUCAAUAGACUAUGUUCUCCUGAUUAUGGGCUUCAAGUUCCUUGGGGUAAGUUUGAUCUUCUCCAUGGAGAUAUCGAAUCUUUUUCUUGUUGCUGUUUCAUCUUUGCAUAUAACUUCUUAACAAACCGCAACCAACAACAGCCAACAACCACCGACCCUGCCUUUCUGAGUCCUAGCAUUUAUAUACCCUCUGGAAAGUCCCCAGAAUUCCAAACAUUAUACAAUCUCAGAAAAUAUCUGCAGCUGUAAAGUCAUGCCUCUGCUACAGCAUGAGGCAAAUUAUAGUCAUCUAUUGUGGACAGUCUGAAGCAGCCCCAUACUCCACACCUGGACUUAAAACAAAAGCACAUUCUUAGAAUAUUUCUGUGUUUCUUAAAGAAACCAAAAUUCGGGCUGGUGAGAUGGCUCAGCGGUUAAGAGCACUGACUGCUCUUCCAGAGGUCCUGAGUUCAAUUCCCAGCAACCACAUGGUGGCUCACAACCAUCUGCAAUGGGAUCUGAUGCCCUCUUCUGGUGUGUCUGACAACAGCGACAGUGUACUCACAUAAAUGAAAGAAAUGAAUAAAUCCU
ensembl:processed_transcript Gm34121 predicted gene, 34121